rnacentral:rRNA from 1 species
UUGAGAAGAGCCAUUCCUAGUACGAGAGGACCGGAAUGGACAGACCGCUGGUGCAUCAGUUGUCUUGCCAAAGGCACAGCUGAGUAGCUAUGUCUGGAAGGGAUAAGUGCUGAAGGCAUCUAAGCACGAAGCCUCCUUCAAGAUGAGAUUUCCCAUCGUAAGAGUAAGACUCCAAGUAGACUACUUGGUUGAUAGGUCCCAGGUGUAAGAGUAGCAAUAUUCUUAGCUAAGGGAUACUAAUAAGUCGAGGGCUUGACCAA